AAGUCGUAACAAGGUUUCCGUAGGUGAACCUGCGGAAGGAUCAUUAACACGUAUCCACGUAUCAACACGAAACACUACGAACUUAUUCUCCCCGAGACAGCCUACCUCUGCGCCUGCCUUCUCGUGAUUACAAUGGGUCCCUGUUCUGUCAAAGGUUCAGUGUGGCAUAUCACUUUUUGGCUAACGCACCCUUCCCUUUAUGGGGAGUGAGUGUAAAGGCAAAGUAAUUGGAUUGUCGGGCUUUACCAUUUUCAAUCCGCUUCAAGGUACCCAUUCUUCCCUUGGCGGGGCGAUACCCAUACCCUUUUCACCCUAUUUUACCCAAUUGGCUAAUUAUUACAUUCUCGGAGAGAAAUCUCUGUUGAAUUUCUAAGAUUUAUCUUAACUAAGCACAACUCUUAGCAAUGGAUAUCUUGGUUCUC
rnacentral:misc_RNA from 1 species